rfam:Rhizobium sp. Root149 contig_6, whole genome shotgun sequence.
GCAAAUUCCGAGGGGAGCACCUGUACGGUGCUGAGAUGGCGGUGAGCCGGACCCUUGAACCUGAUCCGGGUCAUGCCGGCGUAGGAACGGAAAAUCGCUCGCAA